AAUUGGUUACGUCUAUGCAGAUGGAAACCUGGAUGUCCGAGCACUUCUGGUCCCAAGCAUUUUGCACAAGUGAUAGCCAACUGGGGUUAAGCCUUUCAACUCCAGCAUGCAUUUUGUAGUCAUAGAAUAUUUCAAUUUGACUAGCCACAGUUCAAGUGCCCGAUAACAAUACAUGACUAACACAUCGGAUGGCAUAACUAUAUUUUAAAAAUUCCAGUCCGGAUGCUACUACUAACUAGUGCUUUGAUCUUGAAUGUGGACACAAUCAUGUUGUGUUAAGAAAAUUUAAUGGGCUACUGAAGAGCAGUAAGUAAUCAUUAUGAGGAGGUUGGGGAGGAGUGGGCUAGAUGGCUUAGCAGGAAGGGCCUCUUUGGGGAGGUGAUCAGCUCUUUACCCUGGAGCUAAAAAAUGGUACAACCACAUCCCAACCUGGGGCUAGAAGAGCCAUGUUGUUUUCCAGAAGGAAAACAAGGAAGCCAGGAAUCUGGUGACAGGAGUCUCUGGUAUACAAGCCAUCAUAUCCUCUUCUGAGAUCAACGCUCUGAAGUGCUGGCAACAGCUGUUCGGUGUGCUGCAUAUUUUCUCAAAUAGUCCCUGCAUCUGCUCCUCCUGCCUUGAGAGAAAUCAAGGAGAAAAAACAAACAUUAUUGGCAGAAGGUGGGGAAGGCCUUGGUGGCUCUAAAAAAAAUUAAUAAUAAUAAAGGGCAAGGUAAUUUGAGGCAACUCCGGGCUUAAAAUAUGUAGGUACAGGUGCCAUGGAGUAACCCCAACCGAUCUUGAUCAUAAAUGUAGGAGUGGGUGGGGGUUCGGGACAGUAUUGAGCUUGUGAGGUCCUGUACAGACACAGGCUGAGCAGUGUGCAUUUUACUGCUGCCAAAUUUGUCCAGACUUAAGGCUGUGCCCACUGCUGCUGCCUCCCUGCACUCCCUUACCUAUUUCUCUUUGAAAGCAAAUUGCCCUGCAGGCUAUUCAUGACAUGUCUCAGGCAGCUGCUGGCUCGGCAGCUUCUAGAAGAGUGUAAGGUUUGCCUGGCAGGUAAGAAACCACAAAGGUUAGCUCCUUUCUCACACAGUUCUGGGCAUUUGGGAAUUUGUACUCAACCCUUCCUCUUCUAAACACUUCCACAGAACAGUUAAUACAUAUCCUUGAACCCAUGAGGCACUGAAAUGGUACUUCCUAAUCCCUUGAUAGUUCUGCUCUGAGCUAAAUGCGAACGGUUUACUCUAGGGAGAGUGACCAGUUGGACAACCCAUAAACCCCUGACAGGCAAGCAAGGAAAGAACCUGACUCUGUAGCAGUGAAGACCCUUACGUCACACUCGUAUGUGUAUUUUUCACAGUCUUUCCAAGUCGGCUCGAGGGAUGACAGAUAAUAAUGAAGAAAAAAGACUCGAGUUAAGGGUUUACGGAGUGCACCAUUGGGUUCAGAAUCCAGAGACAGAGAAAGAAGAAUUUGGAGGGCCUCUGCAGAGCCAACUGCUAAAUUCAUUAAUAAAUGUCUUUGGGAGAGCAUUUAGAAAUGCAGAAUCAUAAAAUCCAACCAAGAAUUUGAGCACAGUAUGGAAAGCAAAACCAGAUCGUAUUAUUAACCCUCAAAAAGUCACACUGGUGCCUGAAGCAGUAUCUGGAGGUGUGUAAGCCCAGAGACCCCAACAUUCUUUAUUCUCCAACUCCUCCCAAUAUGUUCAUGUGAUUUCUUUGUGAAUCUAAGCACCAGCUAACUUGUCAAGCUUUCUCUUGUCUUACCAUCCUCGGAUAUUUCUGCUGUCCUGGCCAUAUAUGUGAGUACUUGUCAUUCACUCUCCUCGAUACUGUGCCCCUUCUCUUGGUGUCUGACAUUAUAUGAGAGUAUCUUGACUCUAGGUGUUUUAUAUCAAACUAGUCACUUAUCAUCUUAGCAGCUUAAAACAAGACAAUUUUUGGCCUAACAUUUUCCGAGGUUCAGGAAGCCAGGCACAGCUUACCUGAGUCAUUGGACCUGGAAUGUCUUUCAAGCUACAAGGAGGCUCUGCCUCUAGCUGUGAUUACCCCAGCUAAGGUUGAGA
ensembl:lncRNA